CUGGAAACAUCCAAACUGAGGCGAUCUGUACUAAUUUACAGAUUUUUUUUUUUCAUGUAAUUCUAUUACAGUUCUUAAUUAUAUGAUCACAGUCUGCUUUCCACGCAACACCCGCGUGCGUAGGACCUGCUCCGUAGGCCUUCGAUUAAGUUGCACCGGCAAGGAGAAUUCUGACAUUUCUGAAUGUUCAGUGCUUGAUCACGCGCUUAACAGAUCUUUGGCUACCAUCUAUGCACAUUUAUGCAUAAGGUGUAUACAAACACACACACGUACCACAGAUAGAUACACGGAGAUAACGCCUGAUGGCUGGUCCCACAGAGGGGUCGCGUACAUUUGGUGCUCGGUUUACAUAGCAUGACAUGUAUGUCACAGUCAUGAAGAGCUCUGACAGGGUGUUGUCAGCUGGCUUUUGCUAAGAGAAGGAAUACAUCUAAUAAUGAAAACAAAAAAGAAAAAGCAUUUUGGAAGAAAUAAUACUGCACAAAUCCUCUAAAAGGACAGAAUUGUCUACACAACAAAGGCUCAGCUGAUUGAUGCUAAAAUAAGCAGUUAUGCAACAAGUAAGAAAUAUGAUCUCCAGAGAAGGAGCCAGCAACAUUUCCCUUUCAUCUUCAGUCACCAGUGCCCGUUUUUGCAUACCUAGGAGAAGAAUAUAGGCAACUUUUUGACAAUAAGCGCCCAAGUUGAAUUAACUGAUGUUCAGAUGAAGGACUUGGUGCAGAUCCCCUCACUAUAAGAGCCCCCCAAAGUGCCAUGAUGCUGUUGCUUCCACUGCCCGUGCUCCAGGGCUGCGAUGGCACUUCGGAGGAGAGCUCUGCUGGCAUGACUGGGUGUAAAUACGCUGAUUUUAGGGGUGAAUCGGCUCACCAUAUAGCCGUGAUUACCAAACUUAAAACAACUUCUGAAGAAGCAGCAUAUAAAAUAGUUAAUCUCAGAAUGCCUGCAUUUAGUACAACUUGUCAGCAAGACUUGAGACCCAGAAAAAAAUCUCAGUGUGACAGAUCUCAUGGGGAGGAAGAGGAAGAGCCGGGCACCUCGCUGUCCCCACGUCUGGCUGCUGGAGUACCUGUUGGCACCCAGCACAGGGCUGAGGCAGGAGGGAGUGUGACGGAUACAAGGAAAAUUCAAUGCUAUUUCGAAGACCUUUAGAAACCAACUAUUUACUAAUGCUACCUAGCGAGAAACUGCAGGGAAAGCUCAGCUCCUCAUCGGCCGGGUGCCUGUUCCUGCUGUGAUGCCCUCAUGUCCCUGCGGCCAGGUGCUGAAGGAUCGGUGUGGGGCAGAGAGAUGCUCUGGUUACAAGAGCUGGUGGAGACCCUCACAACCUGAAAAGGGUGCAGGAGACACAUGGCUGCUCAUUUACUGCCCACAUACCCUCUUCCAAGGCCUCUGGUAGCCAGAAGAACACGAGAUAACCUCCUGGCUACUUUCAUUUCUGCCGAGGACCAGAUCAGCACAGAGCCAUCCCGGGAGGGGAGCACAAAGAUGAUGGAAAGCUUGGUGCAUCCGUAUCCCAGACAGGGUUGUCCAACAUCCCAGCUGUGAUCGGGAUACUUGUUAAUAAAAUGCGUGUUAACUUGGAGAAUAUUAAGCAGAUGCAGUAGAAGGAAAAAGAACAAGCUCUGCUCUAAAUUAUAAUAAUAAUCACUUCCAUCUUCGAGAAUGAACUACUACAGAAAGAUCAAGGGCGAGAUGGCUGCUAUGGUCAUUAUAUAAACUAAUCCUUUUUCUUUGUCAGUCAUUCUGCAUAAUUCUUUCCCUCUCUGAAGCUAAGAAGAAAUACUAUACUUACAGGAGAAGAAAAUUUGAUUUGGCAGAUCAGUGGAUAGAGAGAUUUUUUUUUUUGCAGUCUCAAUUACCUCCAGUAGCUCGAAAUUCGGUAUCAAAAUAAACUGUAAACAAACAAAAAAAAAAUAGAUACAGCAUUACAAACGUCCAUCCCUUGAUGGAUAGCUCAAAAAUUCUCUGUUCCAGCAACAGCUGCUUUAAUAUCUUCCAGGGAAAUGGCAGUCUCUCUCUGUCUGAAGGGAUUACCUUUAAGGAGUGCCUCCUUAAGUGGUGUUGUGUAAAGAUGCUCAUGUUCUUGUGCACUGAAUUUCUUCUGCCAAAUUUCCAGAUUCUUUUGUGGUUGGUUUCUCUGUUUCCUGUAGGUUCUGUAAGCCUUCUCGUCCCCAGGCUGAACGUGCCCAGCUCUCAGCCUGUAUAUAUGGCCCCACCACCACUCCUUUGCUCCCUUUUUAGGGAUCCUUUAGACUUGCCAGGCUAAGCAGGGUGCUGGACAAGCGUGGCUCCUCAGGCCACCGCAGGUCUCAGCGUGAAGACACGACCACUACAGGCAAACACCAUCGUUCACCCUGUCUGGGCGAUGGGUGACAAGAACAGACACGUGUCCCCACGACGGGUACCCCAAAGGCAGGACAUGCCACCACAACCCCUCCUGCUGCCCUUCCCCACCCCACGGCUGGGGCCGGUGAACAACCUGCUGUCAGUGGGCUCCUUCCUACCUGCAGGUCCCACCGCGUUACGGAGCACGCAAUUACUGUCCCAAUUAAAAAA